rnacentral:rRNA from 1 species
GACGUAGGUGGCGAGCGUUGUUCGGAAUCACUGGGCAUAAAGCGCGCGUAGGCGGCUAGGUAAGUCGGAUGUGAAAUACCUCGGCUCAACCGUGGAACUGCGUCCGAUACUGCCUGGCUUGAGGUCCGGAGGGGAGAGUGGAAUUCCCGGUGGAGCGGUGAAAUGCGUAGAGAUCGGGAAGAACGCCGGCGGCGAAAGCGACUCUCUGGUCGGAAUCUGACGCUGAGGCGCGAAAGCUAGGGGAGCAAACGGG